GAUAAUCCAAAAGUUUUAUUCAUUUGAUGAACUCAUACUUGAUAUAUUUCUCCGGUGUUACAUUGGUUACAAGUAUUAUACUAUUAGAAAUGAGUAUGCGUAAAGAAAAAAAAGGGGGACAAACUACUUUCUCUAAAACAUCAGAUUGUAUUUAGUAAAGAAGAUAAGAUAGAGAGCAAAGCAAAUGACAGAGACGAGAGAAGCGAGCACACUGCUUGCCGUCUAAAGCAGGUUGGAGAACGGCAAUCAUUCCUUGUCAAAGAGAGCUUACAUGGCAUAACAUCUGCUCUUGCGUUCCCACGGUGGUCUGUACGGACCUAUGUGGCUUCUCGUUAACUAGUGGAAACAUCGAAUGAUUCAAAAAUCUCUCUCUUUCUCUCUUGCGUGUGUGUGUUGUGUGUGUGAAAGAGAUUCAAUGGUUAUUUUGUGUCCAGUACAAGAUUUAUAUGAGUUGAAGUUGAUGUAAAUAUAUAAUAGCAGCCGCUGCUUUGCGUCAAACAAUUAUAUAUUAACGAGAGAACCAAUGUUUGAAGGACCAAUCGUGUGUGAUUAUGGUGUGAAGAGUCCAUCAAGUAGAGAGAACCCGUGGUUACGCAUCAUUUUCAAGUUACGUUCGUGAUGAAAGAUUUUCUUGAACUUCUUGAAUUGUAUUGCCGAGUUGUUUAUAUAUAUAUAUAUAUAUAUUGCAAAAUUCAAAUAAAGCUAAAUGUUGUAAAAAAAACUUCUUCAAUUAAUUUGCCAAGUUGUUUUUAUGUAUAUUUAUAUAUAGUUUAUAACAUUAAAAUAAAGCGAAAUGAUUUAUGUUUUGUUUGGGUGUAUUUUGAUUAACAAAUACUCUACCCGUUUUCAAAAGAGAUUUAUAAAUAUAGCUUGAAAAAUUAAAAUACUCAUUCAUUUCUAAAAGAGAUGUUCUAGACAUUUUUCCAUAAAAAUAAAAAUAAAAAAAUUCAAAUUUUCUGAGCAUUUUUAUUAAAUAUUAAUUUAAAAUAUUUGAACUGAUUAAAUGUUAUCAGUUGCUAGCUAUUAACAAUUUUAUUGAAGAAAUAAAAAACAGAUUUAAUUAUAAAUAUUUAUAAUAUGCGUAAAAUUUUAGAAAUUUUAUAUUAUUGUCUUUUCUUGUUAUUAUGAUUAAUCAUUUAUUCAUGGGUCUAAAACUCAGAAAACUUGUUGGUGAUCUUGUUUUGCGGCGUGGACCAAUCAAAAGAACAACCAACCACUAUGUGUAGAUUUUUGCGAGGAGAAUAAAACCAUUGGAAAUUAAAAUAAGAAUUGACCUAACAUCGAAAGUUAUAGUUUAAUUACCAAGUUAUGUGAUGUAAUCAAAUUUCUUGAAAAUAUAAUUUCAUAUCAGCUAGAUGAUCCAAAAGUGUACUCGAAGGGCCAUUGUUUCUCACAGGUCAAUGCGACUCAUUUCUCGUUUACCGCUUUUGAUUAACAAACAUUCGUUGGUUUUGAUUUUAUUUCCUUAAAAAAUAACUGGCUAGCAAAAUCACAAGAUUUAUAUUCAUUUACUAUUUUUGUUGAAACAUACUAUUAAGAGAAAUCAGCUAAUCGGUUUCUUCUACAAGAGAGUAUGUUAGAAAUACUAACUUGAAAAUUGAAAUAAACGUUUGCAAAUCACUUCUCUAUUGAACUUUAAAAUUGAUUACGGAUUUACGGUAUCCUGAGGUUAUGUCUUUGCGUUUAAAUAUUGCCAGAUGCAACUUGCAAGAGUGGUGGCGCACCAAAUCACACCACCAAAACUUGUGAUUACUCUCAUAAUUUAAAUUAUUAAACAUUAUCCUCAACUCCAUUCAAUCUUGGUAAAUCUUCUUGUGUUUACUAUAAAAUUGUAUUAUACUUAGACGACGAACAUCAUAGUAGUGACAAUAUAAUUACGGAAACUAACUUCAGCGGUAGCGAUAGAAAAAAAAAACAACGGUGACUGAAUCAAAUAUAGCGCAAAACGACGGUAACUAAGCUAUUUAUUGUCGCUGGGUAAAGAAGCCACAAACUUUUUAUAAACAAAGAAUGUGGCUGAAAAUAUUAGCGUCCAUGAAAGACACCAGCGAUCAAUUCCACCGACUAUUUAUGUUUCCACCAUCUUACUUUGCUCUCCAUUAAAGUUACUUUUUCUGUAACGAACAAAACAACUGUGAUUUAGUGGGUGAGGUCUGAAGUUUUUUUUCUAUACCAAAUCUGAGAUUCAAUUUUCAAAAGAUGCAAUUUCUUUCGGAUUAUAUUAUUAUAUGAUGCAAGACUUAAGAGAAAAGCAGCUUUAUGCAGCAGUUUUUUGUGGCUGUGUACCGCAGAGAAAGCAGAAUUGUCCAUCAAUCUGAGUGUUACGUGAAAAGCUACAUCGUAAAAUUAUGGUCCUUGAAGUUGUUCGUCGAUAUUACAUAUGAUCGUCAAGUUUCCAUAACUUAUCAACAAGUACAUAUAAAUUGCGUUUGUAUGAUAUAAUGGGGUCGACUAAAUCACAAAGCCCAUGAGCCGAAUAGCCAAUAAACUUACGAGUGGAAGGGUAAAAUCGUCAUUUUGAUAUACCGAAGCCCUAGUUUUAUUUCACACCUUGGAACAAAACAUCUCACAUUUGUCUUCACUUUUGAUACGAUUUGCUUGUUGAAUGCCCAAUGAUGGAUAACUUAUGUAGUAGAGCGGAUGUAUCUGGGUAAAUCUUCGGCGUGUUGUGUGUUGUUCCUUUAAGCCUUGGAAACAUGGCUUCGUCGUCUCCGACGUCGUUUCACAAGCGCGACCACCAUCCCUUACUACCCCCAUUCACACACCUACACACACACGUGCGUCGGCUUCGAAGUAGUGAUGUUUCUCGGUUUUAUCCAUUUACUUAAAGCCGUGAAUGAUCAGAUUUUAUAGCUAUGAGAUCUGAGGGAUUUUCUUGAAAAAGUGGUUUUUUUUUCAUGCCCAUUGAUGUGAAAGCUCGAUAUUUUCUGAGUGGUGCCCUGGUUUUUCAAUGAUUUGUUCACCAAGUUAUCAUUGCAGCUCUUCUUCAUCAUCAUCAUUGUUAACACCAUCUCUUCUUCUUCUUCUUCUUCUUCCUCUUUUGUUGCUCUGCUGCUGCUGCUACUACUUUGUUGCGAUGGUAACUACUUAUCAUUUUGAAAAACCGGAGAUUGAUGCGCCGCCACUAAUGACAGAUUUUUAUUUGAUCACUGAGGGCUUUUUGUUUAUUCACAAAGUUUGUCUUUAUAGGUGGUUUUUGAUGUUUGGUUUUGCUUGUUUGUUACGAAAAUAUUGUAAAUGUUAUGAAAUAACUUAUAAUUGAUAUUAUCGAGAAAUUUAAAUAAGAGUAGAAUUUAAUACCCGUUGGAAGCAAAUAACACUAGUAUAAGGGAGAUAAUUUAUUAUAAGGAAGAAGAAGAAGAUGUAAUGGUUCUUUGAUUAUAAACUCUUGUUCUUGUUUAUGGUGUACAAAAGAGUGAGAUGAGUGAUGGUAUUUAUAGUGAACAACAAUACAUAAAAUAACAAAGAUGAUGCUUAAUUUGGUAAAUGAGUGGGUGAUCAUAGUGCUUGAUGAGUAGAUGAUCAUAGUGCUUGAGUUGGUAAAGGAGUGGAUGAUCAUAGUGCUUGAGUUUGGUAAAGAAGUGGAUGAUCAUUUCAAUGCUUAUCUUAUAACACUCCCCCUUGAUCAUCCAUCUUGUAUUACGUGGUGCCUCGUUAAAAACCUAGUCAUGGAAAACCCAAUGGGAAAAACCGUAGUAAAAGUAAAAAGAGUACAACUACGUAAGCUCCCCCUCAAAUGAGUAGUCAUAGAACCUUUAGAACAAUGAUAGAUUUUCAUCUCUCAAAUUGUAACAUUCUCUUUGGUUGUCUAUCUUUUGUAUGUUCUUUGUUGCCUCGUUAAAACCUUGUCAUGGAAAAACCCAAUGGGAUAAAAAAAAAAUUGUUUAUUAAUGCAUCAAAAAAAAAGUUUGUUAAAACGUGAAUAAACUAUACGUAACAUAUGCUUUUGGUUAUUGGGACUAUGAGGUUUUUGGAUCUGUAGAGCUGUACAUUCUCAUGUUCAGAGAGAAAAAAAAACAUAUUCCUGUUUUUUAAAGGAUAUUAUUAAAUCAUGUUUUCUGUUUUAUAAAAAGUGUUAAUUUGAUAUUUUUUUGUUGUACAAAAAAUGUUAUUCUAAAUUUCAAUGUAAUCUAUUUACAGUAAAUUUAUAUUAAUUACAAAAUGUUUUGAUUUAUAAAUAAUUUUAUUUAUCUAAAUACUAAGCUAAAUAUAUGUAACUAACAAAAUAUAAAUGUAUUUUAACAAAAUAUGUGUGACACUUUUUAUAAAACUGAGAGUAUAGUUUUACAUUUUUUUUCAACGACACUUAAACAUGAAUUUCAAAAAAUUCACUAGAUAAUCCAAAAGUUUUAUUCAUUUGAUGAACUCAUACUUGAUAUAUUUCUCCGGUGUUACAUUGGUUACAAGUAUUAUACUAUUAGAAAUGAGUAUGCGUAAAGAAAAAAAAGGGGGACAAACUACUUUCUCUAAAACAUCAGAUUGUAUUUAGUAAAGAAGAUAAGAUAGAGAGCAAAGCAAAUGACAGAGACGAGAGAAGCGAGCACACUGCUUGCCGUCUAAAGCAGUUUGGAGAACGGCAAUCAUUCCUUGUCAAAGAGAGCUUACAUGGCAUAACAUCUGCUCUUGCGUUCCCACGGUGGUCUGUACGGACCUAUGUGGCUUCUCGUUAACUAGUGGAAACAUCGAAUGAUUCAAAAAUCUCUCUCUUUCUCUCUUGCGUGUGUGUGUUGUGUGUGUGAAAGAGAUUCAAUGGUUAUUUUGUGUCCAGUACAAGAUUUAUAUGAGUUGAAGUUGAUGUAAAUAUAUAAUAGCAGCCGCUGCUUUGCGUCAAACAAUUAUAUAUUAACGAGAGAACCAAUGUUUGAAGGACCAAUCGUGUGUGAUUAUGGUGUGAAGAGUCCAUCAAGUAGAGAGAACCCGUGGUUACGCAUCAUUUUCAAGUUACGUUCGUGAUGAAAGAUUUUCUUGAACUUCUUGAAUUGUAUUGCCGAGUUGUUUAUAUAUAUAUAUAUAUAUAUUGCAAAAUUCAAAUAAAG
rnacentral:lncRNA from 1 species